UGGGCUUGACAUACACCGGAUCGCUGCAGAGAUGUAGUUUCCCUUGUGGCUGGUGUACAGGUGGUGCAUGGUU
rnacentral:rRNA from 1 species